GUGGGGAAUCUUCCGCAAUGGACGAAAGUCUGACGGAGCAACGCCGCGUGAGUGAUGAAGGUCUUCGGAUUGUAAAGCUCUGUUAAUCGGGACGAAAGAGCCUAGUGUGAAUAAUGCUAGGAAGUGACGGUACCGGAAUAGAAAGCCACGGCUAACUACGUGCCAGCAGUCGCGGUAAUACGUAGGUGGCAAGCGUUGUCCGGAAUUAUUGGGCGUAAAGCGCGCGCAGGCGGAUCUGCCAGUCUGUCUUAAAAGUUCGGGGCUUAACCCCGUGAUGGGAUGGAAACUACAGAUCUAGAGUAUCGGAGAGGAAAGUGGAAUUCCUAGUGUAGCGGUGAAAUGCGUAGAUAUUAGGAAGAACACCAGUGGCGAAGGCGACUUUCUGGACGAAAACUGACGCUGAGGCGCGAAAGCCAGGGGAGCGAACGGGAUUAGAUACCCCAGUAGUCC
rnacentral:rRNA from 1 species